AGUGAACGCUGGCGGCGUGGAUUAGGCAUGCAAGUCGAGCGAUCCUUGCUGAAUCAAGAGGUGCUUGCAUCUCAAGAGGAGGCGCGGGAUAGCGGCAAACGGGUGAGUAACACGUGAGUAAUCUUUCCUUAAGACAGGUAUAGCUUCGUGAAAACGGAGGUAAUUCCUGAUAGUUCCAUUAAAACGCAUGUUUUUUUGGAUAAAGGCGGGGACCCUUCGGGGCCUGCCGCUUAAGGAUGAGCUUGCGUCCUAUCAGCUAGUAGGUGAGGUAACGGCUCACCUAGGCGAAGACGGGUAGCCGGCCUGAGAGGGCGAACGGCCACACUGGAACUGAGAUACGGUCCAGACUCCUACGGGAGGCAGCAGUGGGGAAUAUUGGGCAAUGGGGAAACCCUGACCCAGCGACGCCGCGUGGGUGAAGAAAUCCUUCGGGAUGUAAAGCCCUGUUGUAUGGGAAGAGCGGAAGACGGUACCAUACGAGGAAGCCCCGGCAAACUACGUGCCAGCAGCCGC
rnacentral:rRNA from 1 species